UACGGAGGGUGCAAGCGUUAUCCGGAUUCACUGGGUUUAAAGGGUGCGUAGGCGGGCAGGUAAGUCCGUGGUGAAAUCUCCGAGCUUAACUCGGAACUGCCGUUGAUACUAUUUGAUCUUGAAUAUUGUGGAGGUAAGCGGAAUAUGUCAUGUAGCGGUGAAAUGCUUAGAUAUGACAUAGAACACCAAUUGCGAAGGCAGCUUACUACACAACGAUUGACGCUGAGGCACGAAAGCGUGGGGAUCAAACAGG
rnacentral:rRNA from 1 species